rnacentral:lncRNA from 1 species
UUCGUUUGCUCGCUCGCGCUCAGGCAGGCGCGCGGAGUGUGCACGCGGCGGGGAGAGCUCCCGUGAGGGGGCGUGUCCUUUCGUGGGCCGGCUGAGUCUGUGAAGGUCCGCGUCUCCGCGCGGCGUGGUGCUCACGGCUGUGGGGAAGCAGGGCGCGCGCCCUGUGGGGCGGGCUCUUGCCUGCGGACAGAUGGAGGGUCACCUUGUUCCGAGGAGAGUCAGGCACCCGAUGUGAGGGAGGAUGUGAAACGGAACGACCCGUUUAGAAUACUGACAUGGGGAUGGAGAUAGAGUCUCAUGACAAAAAUAGAGGUGAACGUGUUGUGGAAAAUAUAAAGAUGGAAGUCAGAAGCUGAGAAAGCUGAGACAGAAAGAUAAGAAACUUGGUUCAUUCAUGACAUCCUGAAGUUGCUGCAGAAGUCCUAGAAUGACUACAUCUGGACUUAAAUGUCAAAAAUAAAUACCUGUUUAAACAGUUUUUUGGCUUUAUAGCUGAACAUAGGCUUGGCUAAUACAGAAACUAUCAUGUUAUC